rnacentral:lncRNA from 1 species
UCAUGCUAUGCAUGGGCCUUUCCACUGACCUACACAGUAAUGAAUUUACCAGUAAAUAUUAGAUGUUGUUGCCUCUUAGGUAUAUGUAUGUGUAUUUACCUUAUUCAAAGCCUGUCUCUUGCAACCCUCCCUACUUCCUGGGUGCCUGGUCUAAUUCCUCUUUAGCUCUGGUAUCUCAGAGAUUAGUGUAUCAGACUGGAGAAUCUUUUCUCUGAAACUAAGCAGAAAGUCCAAGAGUCUUGGUCAUACAUUUUAAAAACAGCAUGUGGAUUAUUUGUGGCUUUAAUUUGUAUCAAAGUCAUUGAAAAUGAAAUUACUCAGAUGACCAUUUGCUUCUGAAUCCCUGUUACCAUGGAUAAGACAGCAUAAUAAUCAACAGAGUGUUUAACAGGGAUUUGUUGUUUAGACCAUGAUCUAUUUUAUUUUCUUAGACAGACAAUAUUAGAAUAUGUGUCAUUUAAGUAGUUCAUUUAUGUAAUACAACCACACCAUAUAUAUUCAUAAGUAUUUAAUAAUAUGAAACAACUCAGAAAACAGACCAACACAAGAGUAUAUUUUAAGCUAAUAUUUCACAAUAGAAACUAUUGUCAUAUGUACUAUGUUUGUUUGUUUGUUUGUUUGUUUGUUUUGGUUUGGUUUUGGUUUUUGAAGGUAAUAUUUGAUGGAGUUUCCUUGGUACUGAAUUCAACAUAGGACUAAGCUUGAGCCGUUCCUAACUUUGUAGAUGUUUAUGCCUACUGGAAAGCUCCUUAUAAGCUGGAAAAUAAUUUCCUUCUUGCUAUUAUCUCAGAAUACUUUGCAGGGGCCUGAAGAAUAACUCAGUGGGAAACCACUUUUCUAGCAUGUUUGAGGUUUUGGGUAUGGACUCCAGCAGUAAUCCACACUUCCAGAUUCUGUGACUCAUUCUGAUAAGAAUUGAUUCAGUUUUCCUUAUCAGGCUGGUAGUAGUGAAAGGUAUGAGUAAGGAGAAAAGAUGCAAAACCAGCAUGCUUGUAGAAGACCAUUUGAUUGAUAACAUUUUCAUAAAAUUGUAGAUGCACAAGGCUGCCAGAAUAAGUCUGUAACAGUUAGGUAUAAAGUACCUAAAACACUGGAACAAAGUUGAGUUUGAAAAGAUAAAUAUUAAAGGAUAAAUGCUUAGAACUGUAAAUGAAUAGACUGAUGUUGAUGACUUUGAAAAGAGGUUUCAAGCAGACUGGUAAUCCAGAGCAUUCUGUGAUGAUGAUGAUGUUCAUGUUAUGUAGCCCAGGCUAGCCUUUAACUUGUGGCAUACCUCCUGCCUCAGCCUUCUGGAGUACUGUAAUUAGAGUAUGUGCCAACAUGACUUCAGGGUAAAGCACUUUGUUUUUCUUUUCCCAGUGCUAGAUAGGGAGCUGGGGUCUUGCACAAGCUAGGCAGGUGCUCUGCCUCUGAGCUGAAUUCAUGAGCAUCACCUGUUCUGAUAACAAGCCCCAUGGUCCUCUUAGAACACGUAACAAUUGACUAAAACCUUCCAAAUAUUUUCCCAUGACAUCAUCAUAAAUACCCUGUAAAAUAAAGGACAUUUUGUAGGUAGCAACACCAUGGCUGAAACAGGGAAAUAAUUUCCCUUGCUUAGUAAAUGGAAGUGCUGUAUUCAAAAUCUCCCUGGUUCUCAGCCAGGACCCUCCUUUCUGUGUUCAGUGCAUUCCUCUAUCACAGUGCCUCAUUUCAUGAUAACUACAAUUUCUAGCGAAAUAAGUGAUUUAGAAUUUACACUUUCCACAUCAAGUGUUCUAAAAUACUCAGGAUGUUUUGGGUUAGGUGAAUGUCUUUGCUAUGAGGUCAAGGGUGAAUAGGCGACACUCCCCAACCUGUAACUAGCCAACCUCAUAUCCAGGCAUAGGAAAAGGGAAUCUCUUAAGGACAAGACAUUUAGUGAGAACUCAAGAAUUUUUUAAAAAUAAACCGUGGUCAAUAUGACAGAUUGACUUGAAAAUAAAUAUCAAGAAAGCUUGGAUACCACUGGAGCCCGGGCUUGAGGAAUGAAUGAAAGGGGCAGCAGCAGGGGCCCUUGUUCAAGUGACACCAAGUGGCCAUGACCUGGGCCUCCAGUCAUGAUUGGAAGAAGUGUGAAAAAAGCAAGGGUAAAAGUUGGUGUAUAGAUGGGUCAUGUCCCUUAAAGCAGUUGAAGUGAAGAGCAACUUGACAAGAGAGGGCCAUUGUGUUCAGGGCUACUGGGCCCAGUUAUCACAGAGCAUGCAUUCCUCAUGACUUUGAUGAUUUUGAGUAGGUUAUUCUGUUAACAGGAUUUCCCCACAAAUUGCUAUUAUUUAAAGUUAAUAUCAUUUAAAUAUUAAUGCCUGAAUUUUAAAGUUUAUUUAGAAUUGCCCUAUGGCUUAAUAUUUAUACAAAUCAAGAUACUUUAUUUAUCACACCUCCCCUGAUCAGUAUUACAUAACUAAAAUUCAAGUUGGUAUGAGACAUUCUUAUCUAAAAAGGCCCUCUAUGUGUGUUCCUAAAUGAAACUGAUCACUUUAAUCAAAUAGUAUGGAACAAGUGACCAGUAUCCUCUCCGUACUGUUUUAUGGAGAGUUCCCUUUACUUUGAUGAUGUAGCUAAAGCCAGAGGCAAUGCAUGAACAUCAUGCUUUAGCUCUCAAGCAAAAUCUUUACCAAAAAGAGAAAACUUUUCACUUUAUAAAGUUAGUUAUUGCCAUUUGUUUUCAGUGCCAGGUAUCAGACCCUGUGGCUCAGACAUCCUAGGCGCACUGAACCACUAAGUUAACUCCCUCCCAGAUCCUUGAAUUUUAAAUGAGAAAAAACAUCUAUAAUGUUUCAUAUGUGUUUACUUACAUUGUCCUUUUGUUUCUCAACAAGUUGCUUUUUUUUAAUGGUUGCAAGUGAAGACUCCCCAAUGCAUUAUGAAUGUGCAUCUACCAUGCAAAAGUAUCCCAUCAUAGUAAAGACAUUCUGUUCAUUAAGAAAGAGAGAAGAAAGAAAAAAACCCAAACAAAAAUCAAAACCAAGUCAAGUAAAGAACUGUAGACACUUUUGCCCUGACACACACGCAUACACACAUACACCCUUGAGUAUAAACAUUUGAGAACACUGGACCAAAGUAAAAUAAAGUCAUUCUUAUUUCAGAAAGUCUAUGAUCAGGGAAAAAUCAAAGAGAGAAGUCCUGCAGCUGAAGAUACAGAAUGCCUGGUUUUCGCAUGUAAAAUGUGCCAGCUGUCUAUUUGGGAAGAAGGGAAAGUAGACCCUUCUUCCAUAAGUGAUCAAGCUUUAAAAGUUAAUUGGAACAGGAACUAAAGUUUGACAAUAGUGGAGAUUGUGCAGUAAAGCGCCGACGAUAUAAAACUCUGUUAAGAACAUAUUCUAGUUAGCCAGCUGUGUAGGGAGGACAUCUUCACCACUCUCCAUCCCCAUGCCAAAUCCACUCAGUAAGCACCCAUCUUGUAUGAGUCUUGAUGAGAAGACAAGCCAGGAAAUAUAUGUUUAAGAUAAGGUUGUUGUCCAUUUUGGAUUUUUAGUCAACAUGGGCAGAGCACUGAGAGCAAGGAGGAAGAAAGCCCAAUGGGAAUGAACUUAAAUUGUUAUAAGGAAAAAGUUGUAGUGAGCUGGAGAUGUAUUCCAGUAAUAGAAAGCUUGCCUAGCAUGCGUGAGGGCCUGAGUUUGAUCUUCAGUAUUUCCCCUUCCCCCUAACCUCCGCCUCACACACACACACACACACACACACACACACACACACACUCGCGUGGUGCUUGAUAUUCAUGCAUGUGUGCACAUUGUGGUCAAGUUUACAGGACUUGGUUCUGUCCUUCUAUCAUGUAAGUUUGGGGAACUGGACUCAGAUCACCACCCACUGAACCAUCCUGCCAGUCUAAACACUCCCCCUCACACUGACCCC